ACUUCCGGUCAGAACAUCAAUGACCGCCAUUUGAAUCAACAAAAGGAGCUGUAACACUGUGAGGGUCUGGUCAGCUGCUUCAUUCUUGAAGUCAGUGAGACCGCAAACCCACCAGAAGGAACCAACUCCGGACACAGAGGGACUAGAUAAUACUGGCUGAAUGAAGGAAUAUGAACAAGGCCACUUAAGAUGCCCUUCUUGCAUGGCCGUAUAUCUUGAGCUUAUGGAUGAUUUAUUGCAACUGGCUGUUACUUCUCUCCCUUGAGCUCAUGGAGGGUGUCUUGGUCCUGAUUAUAUUUCAAGCUAACCUUCCCACUGUGAACUACUGGCAUCUUACUUUUUGACCCCUUGACAAGAAGAACUGGAGUUACCAAAAUGCUGUCAUUUAAGGUGUUGGAGUGGAAACCAGAACAUUACCUAUUAUCAAGAAGGGGUUUCUUCUAAGGCAUUCAGGGCACUCAGAAACAUACAUCUAAGGAAAGAUUCACUUAAAAACCAGCCAAGACACAGUCAUAUAAUUGGGAUCUCCAGGGCCCUGAGUAAAGACAGUCUCCUCCCACUUCAUCGUCGGUAAAUCAAACUCUCCACAGAUGGUAAUAAAUUUAAUAAAAUAA
rnacentral:lncRNA from 1 species